rnacentral:rRNA from 1 species
GAUCAUGGCUCAGGAUGAACGCUAGCUACAGGCUUAACACAUGCAAGUCGAGGGGCAGCAUUUUAGUUUGCUUGCAAACUGAAGAUGGCGACCGGCGCACGGGUGAGUAAUACGUAUCCAACCUGCCGAUAACUCCGGAAUAGCCUUUCGAAAGAAAGAUUAAUACCGGAUGGCAUACGAAUAUCGCAUGGUAUUUUUAUUAAAGAAUUUCGGUUAUCGAUGGGGAUGCGUUCCAUUAGUUUGUUGGG